UGCGAUAUAGUGUAAAGGUCUGCACGACAGUCUCAUCAACUGUAAGUUUUGGUUCAAACCCAAAAUUCGCAC
rnacentral:tRNA from 1 species